GCAAGUCGAGCGGAAACGAUACGAACUUGCUCUCAGGCGUCGAGCGGCGGACGGGUGAGUAACGCGUAGGAAUCUACCCAGUAGCGGGGGAUAGCCAGUGGAAACGCUGAUUAAUACCGCAUACGCCCCACGGGGGAAAGGGCGGGAUCUUCGGACCGGUCACUAUUAGAGGAGCCUGCGUUGGAUUAGCUAGUUGGUGAGGUAAAGGCUCACCAAGGCGACGAUCCAUAGCUGUUCUGAGAGGAAGAUC
rnacentral:rRNA from 1 species